UUUAUUUUAUGUUAUUCUUUUCCUGCUUAAUGCCCGUGUCUUGUAUUGGUACAUCAAUCCCAGCUUCUCCCGAGGCUGCAGAUCAAAUCUUUCAGUGUCUGUGGGAGUUUCUGGUUUUCCCAUUCCCACGUCUUCCCUCUCUCUCUGUAUGAAAAAAAAAAUUAUUAAUGGAUUUGUUAAGCAUUUGUUGCAUAUAUUAACAUAAAUAAGGUGUUAUCAUUAGUAUUAUUAUUAUAAUAUAAUUAAAAUGUAUAAUUUUGUUAUACAAUUUUUUAAUUAUAGUGUUAAAUUUUAUUUAUUGUUAUGUUUUAUUAUUCUUUUUUUUUAUAUUUCUUAAAGUUGUACAUUUUUAUAAGUAGAUUUUGUGUGAUUAGAUAAAUUUAUACAUUUUAUUAAAUUUUUAUAUUUAUGUUUCUGUGUUAAUAAAAGAAAAUUUAUUGGUUUUUUGUAAAACUGCGUGUUUAAUAUUUUUGAUAUUUGUUACGAAGUUAUUUAGUGUAAGGGAUGCAGAAUUAGAUUGUUUAUUGAGAUAAUAUUUUAACAGAUUUAAUUGUUUUAGUGUUGUUGAAGUAAUAGGUGGUAUGAAAAGUGAUGCUACCAUUUUUAUUUUAAGUUUCAAGGCUUAAAAUUACUUUUAUAUUUUGAUUACUAUUGAUGGAUAAAUGACUUUUCUUUUAAAUUGGUAAUCAUUUUUAUAUUAAGAGUUAAUGUAAGGUGUUUUUAAUUAUAUGGAUUAUUUAUAAAGUUUUUUAUUGGUAUAUUAAGUAAAGAAUGGAUUUUUUGAGUAGUGAUAGAUGAAUACUAAGUAAACUUGAAACUUUAGUUAAAGUUACUUAAAUGUUUGUUUUCGGUUGGUUAAUUGGUAAAGUGAUAUAAUUAAAAGUAAAUAAAGUAGAGUAGAAGUAUAAUGUUUGAUAGAAUUUUAUAAUUUGUAAGUUAUUAAGUAAUAAGAUUUUUAUAAUAUUGAUUUUUAUAUUUAUAAAGAAACUUAAAGUUUAUAGUUUCUUUGUGGGUGUUGUACAAGAUGUUAGGUGUAAGUUGCAAUUCUUGUGUAAUUUACAUUUGUAUUUACAUAGUGUAAUUUAUCCUUGUAUUUAUGUUGGUGUUUUAUUUGUGCAGUGGUGAGUGUGUUUUUUGUGUGAUCUGGUUUUAUGUUUCUUAUUGAAAUUUACUUGGGUUUUUGUACUUGUUGAGAUAUAAGUAAACUUUAUGUUUGGAUAUGUCAAAUAAGGCAUUGUUAAGUUUUGUUUUAUAAAAUUAUAUAGAGAUUUGCAAUAUAAUGAUAUAAGUUGUUAUUAUUAUAAUUUUUCAGUAAUAAGUAUGAAGAAAUAUGAGUAAAAUAAUGUAUGUAGUAAAGAAGAAACUGAUAAUUAUGAAUUCCAUAGAUAAUAUCUAUAAUUAGUAACAUAGGUGAAAUUAUAUAAUUAGUAAGUAUUAAAAGAUUGUACAUUAUUUUGGAAUUUAUAACAGUUGAUAAAUGUUAAAUUAGUGGAAAGUUGGAUAAUGAUUUUUAAAGUUUAUUUUAAAAAUAUGUUUAUUUGUUAUAUUGAUAAAGUUAAAUUGUUAAGUUAAAAUGAUUUGAAUUUUAUUUUUGAUGUAGAAAAACAUUUGGGUUUGUUGUUAAUUAUUUUAUUUAGGUAGAGUUAGGGUUUGGUUACAGUUUAAAUUUUAAUUGGUGGAUGUUACUUAAUAUAUUUUUGUAUAAUGUUUUUAAAAAUAGUAGUUAAGAGUAAAAAUGUUAGGAUUCAAGAUUAAUUACAUUAUUUAAUAAUUGGAUUUUUUAGUAGUUUUUUUAGACUAGAGAUGCUUUGAAUAUAGUAAACUUCUUUUAAAGAUUUGAAAGUGGUUAUGGACAGGAUUGUGAGUUUGGAUUUGGAUAUUGAGAGUGUGAAGGUGGAGGAAAUGUAUGAGAGAGUCAUUACUUAGUGUGAAACAGAAAAAGAAAUUAAUGUUGUAGUUGGAUUUUAUAUUGAAGUGAUUUUGUAAUAAUAACUGAGGAAAGUGAUAAGAUUAACAGUUUGGAGGAGGUUUUUAACGCAGUUUCAUUUAUCUUUUUUUUAAUUUUGAAAAAUAUUUAAAAUUGUGAGAUAACAUUAGGUUAAAUUGUAGAGUUAGUGUAGAGAUUAGUUAACUUGGUUUAAGAGCUGUAUAAAUAGAGAAUAAAAAAAGUAGGAUGUAGAAAGUUUUUGUCUUUUUUAGAUAAUUAUAUAAAGAGAUGAUAAAGUCUAUGCAAGUUGGUUGUCAAUAUUAUAAUAAUAUUUAUUAAAUAAUGUUUAGUAUAAAAAUUAAUAUAUUUGUAUUAUAUAACUAGCAUAUUAGUAGUAAGUGUUUGAAGAAAUCAGGAUAACUUUAAAAAAUAUUUAUAUAUUAAAGAAAUAGAGCAAAAAUUUUAAAAUCUAUGAUAUUAAUAGCAAUUACUAUUUUUUGGUGUUAUUUAUAAAAGAAAAAUAGUAGAGAUUGUGAUGAAGAAAAGAAUUUUUGAUGAAAUUGAUGAUAUAAUACACUGUAUUUCUUUUACUUCUGAAUAGGUGUUUGUUAGUGUUUUAUUUUAGUUGUUUAUUGGAGAUGUUUUCUUUUUUUUAAGAAAAUUACCCUUAUACUUUAUGGUUUAGAUAAAUGAUUUUUAAUAAAAUUUAGGAGAAGUUCUAUUAAAUACAUUUAAAUUUAGAUGGAUUGAAUUUUGAUAGUAAGGAAUAAUCAACUUAAUUUUAAUAGAAUAUUGAAGUGAUAAAAAGAAACUUAGUGUAUUUAUUUAAAUGUGUUGACAUUUAAUUGUGUUUGAUUUUAUUAGUACUUAACUUAUUGAAGGUUAUUAUUUAUAAAUAGUGAAGGUUUUUAAAGUAUUUUUGUUUUGGAGAAAUUUUAAAUUGUUGAGUUGUGAUUAUUACUUAUAUCUUUACAGGGUGGUUUUAUUUAUUGGGAAAUAUGUUUCUUAGUAAAUUUUUUUUAUUUAUGUUACAUUGCAAAUGGUACUAAUUUGUAUAGUGGGUUUUUUAAAUGCAGGAUAUUGAUUAGAUUCUUUUAUAUUUUUUGUGGGCUUUGACAAAUAUUUAUUUAUACGUUUAAGCUUUUCUAUAUUUGAAGUAUGUUUUGAUGGUUCUUGUUUUUUUAAGAGUUUUUAAUUUAGAAUUUGAAGAUUAUUUGGUGUUUGUAGGAAAUAAAUUUGGGGUUUUUUUUUGAUACGGUUGAGUUGUAUUUUUAAUGUUAGUAAGGACUACUUUUGGCACAUUAUUUUGAUUUUUUGUUUGGUUAUGGGGAGGGUCUCCUGUUAGAUGUGCAAGCAUGAGACUGGCAGUAGGGCUUUUUGUCUAAUGCUUGAUGAGUCUGUUUUAUGGGGAGGAGGUGUUAUUUUAAGUUUUAUAAAAUACACUGAGAAUUAGUUAAAAGCAUGGAAGAAACAUUAUGGUAAUUAAAGGGUGCUAUGUUUAAAGAGCUAUAAAUCCUUUUUAAUAACUGCUUGACAUAAGGUGAGCUUAAUCUACUUUUUCUGCCCCAGAAAGCAUCAGGCACAUGCGCAUCAAUGGCACGACCCCUGCCCACCGCUCCUGUUUCACCCGACCAAAAUCAAGAGCAGAAGUUGGUUGGGCUUUAAGAACAUGAAAUAACUUUGAAGCAAAAUAAAUCACAUUUUUCCCCUGUGUUUUUUUCCUUUCAGAUGCUGCACUCACCUCUGCAGACAAGCGCUGAACUCUCACUGCAGGAACCCGUCAGGCCUCGGUGGCUGUGAGUUCAUGUUCUUCUCACUGGGGAAUUGAAAUAAUUGCUGGUUAAUUGCAGAAAUGUUUUCUGGAGCCUUUCCCCUUUUGUGUCCCUGUGCUGUGUGGGACAAGGGCAGAGGAGCCAGAGGAGCUGGAAAGGGGCGGGAGAAGGCAAAGGGACCCCCUGGUGUCCCCAGGGCUCUGUGGGGAACAGAACGGACACUGUGGGGGCACGGGGAGGUGAG
ensembl:lncRNA